rnacentral:lncRNA from 1 species
GUUGACUUCAUCCCUCAAAAGGGGUAUAUAGGCAGUCUAAUUUCUAAAAAGCUAGAUUCAGUCACAAGUAUCAAAAUUCCCCUUCAUUACCUCAACUCAAAGAGGGUGAACUACAUUUGACGUGAUCCCUUCACAAGAUAAGUAGGCAAGUUAGCCCAAAAAGCUAGGUGCAGCUGUAAAUUAUCACAAAUUCAUUUUAUCCACUGAUGGUAUUGGCACGUAGUUAAAAUGAUUUAUACUAU